rnacentral:lncRNA from 1 species
GUGGGAACGGCCCACCGCAGGGUUGGCCACCUUGAGAAGCUGCGAAGAUGGCGGAGUAAGGCGUGCCGCUGCAAACUGGCCUCUGGGCCGGGGGCGAGCAGCCCCCGGGAGGCCGAGUGCAUCUGUUGGACCGUGCGAGGAGAAGAAAAAAAAUAUCGGCCAGAGGAGAGGAACUAACCGAACAUUCUUCCUCCCUACCUUAUAGAGGGGAGUGGUCAUCUACACUAAAGCAAAGUGUUAGGCGCGUCCGUGCGAAGAGACCACCAAACAGGCUUUGUGUUCCUUAUCACAGGAAGAAAAUUUUCCUUGACCUUUAGGUGCUUUUAUAUUCAUCUCAAAAACAAAAUUCUGAACUCAGGACUUGGCAAGAGGUGCAAGCGAAGAUGCAGUGCUACCUUAUUUUUCAUUUUUAUUUUUUGGAGACAGAGUCUCACUCUAUUGCACCACUGCACUCCAGCCUGGGCGACAGAGUGAGACUCCGUCUCAGAAAAAUAAAAAACAACUUUGGACAUAGAGGAGUUGGGGGCAGAGGGGGGAGGAUGAGAGAAUUUUCCAUGUAACUCCUUUUCCUUAAGAAAAAGAAGCAAAAAUCCCUCAUGCAGUGCCAUCUGACUUUAUGGUGUUUCACAUUAUAUAGUUACUUUUUUUAAUAAACGCAUAAGAUUAACUCUUCCUGCAACCCAAGGUGGAUACUUGGAUGUUUGAUUUUUAUUUAUUUAUUUAUUUAUUUUUUGAGGCAGUCUCUCUCUGUUGCCCAGGCUGGAGUGAUGCGUGAUUUCUGCUCACUGCAGUCUCUCCCACCCGGGUUCAAGCGAUUCUCCUGCCUCAGCCUCCCAAGUAGCUAGGAUUACAGGCGCGCACCACCACGCUCAGCCUGAUUUCUAGGCUGAAAAGGCUGGGACUCAGGUACUUUCCCCAGUUGGGACUGAACUUUCUCAUCAGAGAAUGGGCCUCAGAAGCAAUGUUCCCAAACUUGUGGUUGGGUCAUCGUGGAAAAGAAACCUCAAAUAAGAAAAAUAAUUACAAUAAGAAAUGGAUUUUCUUUUUUCCCACAACAGUUAUACAUUAUAAAGAACAGACUGUCGUAGAAAACUGUCUUUGCUUCCAAAUCAGCAGAGGACCAUUGUAUGUAUUGUCAGGUCUUUAUAUAAGAGUGAAACCUUUAUUUAUGCUUCUUGUGAGUAGAGAAUAAAUUUUAAAACUAAUUAGAUGAAAUUAA